rnacentral:rRNA from 1 species
UACGUAGGGGGCAAGCGUUGUCCGGAUUUAUUGGGCGUAAAGAGCGUGUAGGCGGCCAGGUAGGUCCGUUGUGAAAACUGGAGGCUUAACCUCCAGCUGUCGAUGGAAACCAUCUGGCUAGAGUCCGGAAGAGGAGAGUGGAAUUCCUGGUGUAGCGGUGAAAUGCGUAGAUAUCCGGAGGAACACCAGUGGCGAAAGCGGCCACCUGGACUGUACCUGACGCUCAAACGCGAAAGCUAGGGGAGCGAACGGG